UCCGUAGGCGGGCUAAUAAGUCAGGGGUGAAAUCCCACAGCUUAACUGUGGAACUGCCUUUGAUACUGUUAGUCUUGAGUUAUAUGGAAGUAGAUAGAAUGUGUAGUGUAGCGGUGAAAUGCAUAGAUAUUACACAGAAUACCGAUUGCGAAGGCAGUCUACUACGUAUAUACUGACGCUAAUGGACGAAAGCGUGGGGAGCGAACAGGAUUAGAUACCCUGGUGGUCC
rnacentral:rRNA from 1 species